GAAAACCCUACUUUUAAAAAAACUCUCUCUACACUCAGCCGCCGACCAUAAUUUCCGAAUCGAGACUGGAGAGCGGUGGCUUCUAUAGCACUAGCUCUGGCCUCUCCCUCGUGUUAGUCUAUGCUUUCCUUUUGCGGCUUUGUCUGGAGUAAUUUCUCACCGGAUCUGAAUUGGAAGAAGAAGUACGAUGGCAGAGCUUGCUUGUGGUUGGAUUUUCUCUAGCCAGCCUUGUCUCCUGAAUCCUUUGACGUGAACGGUGGUUUUAUCCUGGUGGUUUCAUCUCUGUUUUAUGUUGUGUGGUUAGAGCGGCUAAAUCUGUGAGGGUUUCUGAUUACAGCAAAGGCGAUGGUUCCGGAUCUCAAGAUCUACGAUUGGCUCGAAGAAUAAUGACAUUGUGGUUUUCUUGUUCCUGUAACAGAUCUUUUCGUUGGUCUUGUACUUAUCAUUGCUUCUAAGCGCCAUGUGGAGUGGUUGUGGGAUCUCGUCCAGCCAUUGCCUCUCCUCUCAAUCCUUGUCUAAUCGUUUCAGCCAGCGGUUCCUUUUGGGUCACUCCCUUCCUAAGCAGAGGAUUUGUGUUGUGUUAAGAUGUAUUAUGUUUCUAAGUAUACAGGUUAUCUUCUCCUUGGUGUUGCUCAUUGUGGUUGUUAGUACCUUGAGCUAUCGUCCUUCUUGCUCUAGAGUUUGGUGAUAUUCAAGGGCUUAGCUUCGCUCCUUGUCCUUGCUUUCCAGAUCUGUGUAGAUUGGUUUGCGUUUUGAAGGCUUCUAGCUAGACGUGAAAGGGCGCAUCAGACGCCGUCGUCGCACCCGAAAGCAUGUUUGAGGUUUUCUUAGUGUUUUUGCUUGUUGGGUUAUGAAGUUUUUAGUGUCGAGAGAUCAGCUCUCAUCUUGAUAGGAGGUGGUAGAUGUUAUCUUCGGGUUGGCCGUGGGCACCCUUGGUAAAUCUCUUUCGCAUGAGUUUCUAGAGAAAAGUUUUUUGCUUUCUUAAGUCUAGUAUAUCUCAUAGGAUUCUAGCUUUUUUGUUUUUAUCUUUGGUGCAAGGGUUUGUCCUCCUUCGUUAGGGGUUUGAAUUUUCUGUGUUGUAGUGGUGUUUUUAGUUUUCCUUCCAUAGGGUUUAAGACUUCAGGGACAUAUCUGUGGUAUGCCAGCUUUAGCUUCCCUCGUGUGGGAGUUUGUAUUUCUCUUUAGUUUCAAAACAAGUUUACUAGUAUAAAUCAGAUAACAAAAAAAAAAAAAAAAAAAAUUAGGAA